rnacentral:lncRNA from 1 species
UGAAACUCAGCCUGAUUUGGGAGCCCCUGCAAUAAGUUUUUACUUUUACUUUGCACCUGAGGAAAAAGGCUCCAACCCAGGUGAAGUGACUUCCCCAAGGUCACACAGGGUAUCAGUAGCAGCAUUCCUUCUAUCUCUUUGUUCCAAAUUUUCUUUGCACUUCAGUCCAAGGCAACCCAACUGAAAAAUAUCUGAAAAAGACAAGGAUUUUUAUUAUUGUCUGCCUCUAGUAAAGAUUCCUUGGAUGAGACUAGCUGUUCCCAGCAUGCCAUUAGAUAAGACCUCUAUGGGGCAAGAGAGGAAAGCCUUCCCAGAUGCCUGGACUUCAGAUGUUUUCCUUGUUUGAUGUUGAAAGCUGAGAAUUUCCCUGGCUCAUGACCCCUGGAAACAAAUGCUGGAUUAUCUGUUGCGCUGGAUUAUCUGUGCCUGGCCCCUGCAGCUGCAUAGAGAAUUGUGUGUUGCCUGCACAGACUGAAGCUCUCCAUCCAUCCUGCGUGCAUUUUGUACUCGCCUGUGCCAGUGGGACUCGUGGGCCCAGUGGAAGUUCCUUAGAAGACCGAGGCCUUUGUCACCACCCACAAAGCAAGGGGAAGGUCUGCAACUGGCCAACACAGUGCCUGACAUCUAACGGGCCCUCAGUAAAUACUUGUGGAAUAGUCUCGCUGUAUCACUCAAGCUGGAUCUCGGCU